CACGUAGGGGGCAAGCGUUGUCCGGAUUUAUUGGGCGUAAAGAGCUCGUAGGUGGUUCGGUAAGUCGGGUGUUAAACCCCCAGGCUCAACCUGGGGACGCCACUCGAUACUGCUGUGACUAGAGUCCGGUAGGGGAGCGUGGAAUUCCUGGUGUAGCGGUGAAAUGCGCAGAGAUCAUGAGGAAGACCAGUGGCGAAGGCGGGUCUCUGGACAGUUCCUGACACUGAGACACGAAGGCCAGGGGAGCAAACGGG
rnacentral:rRNA from 1 species